UAUGUGUUGUAGUAAAGUCGCGUCAAAAUCUUGGAAAUGUUUUGAUAAAGCUCAGCAAAAAUUGUUAUUUAGCUUUUCACAUACAAAUUAACAUAAGAGAGCUUUUUUUAAUGGACAAAAAUUACAAGUCCAAUGUGAAGAAUAAUAUUUUAACCUUACAAGUGAUAUUUCUAAGGCAGAACUAACAAUGAAAGCAAAUGCAGUUUUUCUGUACCACGUGAUUUUUUACCUCUCCCUGUGUUAUUUCAACUAUUUUGCAACUCUGGCCGGUGUAUUGGGAGCAAUCAUAUUUCCCUCAAUAGGACCAUAUUUAUUGAAAACUAUAGGAUUUACUACACGUGGAGUAGGAAAAGGCACAGUGGCUUCAUACUUCAGUUCUGCAUCCAAGAAGACCCGACUUAGCCGUAAGAUCUUUGGGACACUCCAGUCGAUCGGCAUUUCUCUCGGUUAUGUUAAACUGACUGCUCUCGGUGGCUUCGUCGGCAGCUGCUUGUGCAUUGUGACACAGUUUUUGCUUUGUUUGUACAAAACCGAUUAGCAUCAUCAUCGUCAACCACUGCUCAACCUCACCGUCACACACCGCCAUCAAACACCAACAUCGAACACCAUCAUAAGUAGCAUUAACCAGUGCCCAACGUUAAGCACCACUAUCUUACACACACACCAUACAAAGUUGUUGAACGGUUACCAGAAAGAUGCGCAGAAAUAAACAGACGUUGAAAUGAAAUAUUUCUGUCUAUGUAUGCACACAGGCAAGUGCAAACUCAAACAUACAAGCACACAAUGCACGCACAUUGCCAUAAUUCUUAUUGUUCAGCGAUAUGUGUGUAGUUUUCUAUUUGAGCGUUUUUCUGCUUGCGCAUGUUUCUCUUUGCGCAUUUUUCUAUGUGCAAAUUUCUGUUUGCGCUUUUUGUCUGUGUGCGUAUUUUCCGUUGCGCAUUUUUUGCGGUUUUUUCCGUUGAGCUUUUUUUCGUUGCGCAUCUUUCUGGACAACUUGUCAAACACCACUAUUAAACAACGCCAAGUCAUCGGGUUCGAAUAGUUAGCUAAACCCUAGGUUUUAUUAAGGAAACUAUACUAACGUUUUCUAUUAUCAGGGGAAAUAAGUCUGUCUAAAAUGUUACUAUUGUUAGAAACAAUGACGUUAUGGUCUAAAAAUAACAGAUGUGUUUAAGAAAGGGAUUUAUCAAAAGUGGAAAGUUACCCAUAACAAUAUCAAUUCAAGUUUAUAAUUUAUUAUUUAUUAAUAGAUUUAAAAUAUUUAAGUGGACAACAUGUAAUGGGUAAUAAUACCAACACAUACAUAUUAUUAUGGGCAGCUUCAUUAAUAAUUUAUUUGAAUGUAAAAACAAUAUAUAUUUUUUUCUAACACGAUCCCUAUCAUAUAAAUAUGUUCACUAUAAGUAACCUACUUUUGUUGUGAUAUUGUGAUACUUAUUUGUGUUUUUAAAAAAAUGAAUGUAUUAAAAUACGAAAGCUAUCCACCAACAACAUAAUUGCAUGUAUAUAAUGUAUUUUGCAUUAAUAUAUUAUUUAAUAUGUUAAAUAUUAGGGUGGACCAUAUAUCCCAUGAUAUUAUUGUGUGCAGUUUAUUAAACAAUUAAGAAAAAAUAAAAGUAU